rnacentral:rRNA from 1 species
AUUGAACGCUGGCGGCAUGCCUUACACAUGCAAGUCGAACGGCAGCACGGGAGCAAUCCUGGUGGCGAGUGGCGAACGGGUGAGUAAAGUAUCGGAACGUGCACAGCCGUGGGGGAUAACGUAGUGAAAGCUACGCUAAUACCGCAUACGAUCUAUGGAUGAAAGCGGGGGAUCGCAAGACCUCGCGCGAUUGGAGCGGCCGAUAUCAUAUUAGGUAGUUGGUGGGGUGAAGGCUCACCGAGCCGACGAUCUGUAGCUGGUCUGAGAGGACAACCAGCCACACUGGGACUGAGAGACUGCCCAGACUCCUACGGAAGGCAGCAGUGGGGAAUGUUGGACAAUGGGCGCAAUCCUGAUCCAGCCAUGCCUCGUGCAGGAUGAAGGCCUUCGGGUUGUAAACUGCUUUUGUACGGAACGAAAAGGUUUGGCCUAAUAAGCUGAGCUCAUGACGGUACCGUAAGAAUAAGCACCGGCUAACUACGUGCCAGCCGCCGCCGUAA